rnacentral:lncRNA from 1 species
UUUGCGAGAAGGACUCCGAUUUCCUAGAUCAGGACAUGUAGCAACUCGCCAGCUGUCAAAGGGAAACUAUCGACCAGCUCGGGGUUUUUACUGCAUGCGAACUUUGAAUCUUCGUGCGUUUAAACAUCCUCCACAUUCUCCGUAAGACAUCACAGUUUGAGUGUUGAGACGACAGAGGUUUGUUCGCCCGACGGGGGGCAGUGAUCGAUUCCCUAGAGUUGUGCGUUGUCUAGGUAUUCGACAAGUCUGGGGAAGGUGUUAACUUCAGAGCUAGAGACCUGGAAAAAAUUUAAGAGUUUUGAUAAGGUUAUUAGAAGUUUUAAAGGAAGCGUGAGAAACCAUUACUACACGAUGUUGGAUAGGUGGCGCAAGCCGUGGUAGGUGGUACUGUACUGCUCCUUCUUCGACUCAGCUUAAAGUUUCCAUGCGAACAUAUCUGCUUAGUGGGAACAGCCACGUUAUGUACUGGCACAUUUUGCGAACUUCCUUCUUUACAGCGAGCCGGCUCUUAGGGAUGGCCGGCAGCUUCCCUGUGGCUUGUUCGUAAAUCCUCGUUGCAGCUCUUUUGUAAUUCCCAAAUCAAAAUCACCCAAUACCCUGGUUCUCCCUAAAUAAUUGAGGCAAGAUGCAAUCGAAGCGCGGUUGCCUGCGGAUGCACGCCUGUUGAGCACGGCUUAAUCGUCACCGAGGUACCCCGCACCCACGAAAGCAGCACAUGCAAGAGAGGAGGCAAAGGAGUUGAGUCGAAUAACAGUAAGUUUGACACGGCCAUCCUUCGAUGGCCACUACUCCGCACUCUAUUCCUUCUUCUUGUGAAGUGAGGAUACUUUGCAAAAUGCAUGCCAUCUUACGCCUCAGUGGUGCUGCUGGCGACGAUGAUGAUGAUGACGAUGAUGAUGAUGACGAUGAUGAUGAUGACGAUGAUGUGAUGAUGAUGUGAUGAUGAUGUGAUGAUGAUGAUAUCAUGAUGCUGGCGCUGGUGCUGGUGCUGGUGCUGGGGAUGGGGAUGCUGCUGAUGUGUGAUGAUGUGAUGAUGAUGUGAUGAUGAUGUGAUGAUGAUGUGAUGAUGAUGCGUUGAUGAUGCGUUGAUGAUGAUGUGAUGAUGAUGAUGAUGAUGAUGAUGAUGAUGAUGUGAUGAUAAUGAUGAUGAUGUGAUGCUGAUGAUGUGAUGAUGAUGAUGAGAUCAUGAUGAUGUUGAUGUGGUUAUUGAUGUGAUGAUGAUGAUGAUGAUGUGAUGAUGUGAUGAUGAUGAUGAUGAUGUGAUGAUGAUGUGAUGAUGAUGAUGAUGGGAUGAUGGGAUGAUAUGAUGAUGGGAUGAUGAAGAUGAUGGGAUGAUGGGAUGAUGAAGAUGAUGGGAUGAUGGGAUGAUGAUGAUGAUGAUGAUGAUAUGAUAAUGAUGCUGAUGUGAUGAUGCUGAUGCUGAUGUUGAUGAUGAUUUGAUGAUGGCGUGAUGAUAAUUUGAUGAUGAUUUGAUGAUGAUGAUUUGAUGAUGUGAUGCUGACGAUGAGAUCAUGAUGAUGUUGAUGUGGUUAUUGAUGUGAUGAUGUGAUGAUGAUGAUGAUGAUGAUGAUGCUCUGGCUGCGGUGAUUGGACCAACCGACCUAAGAAGGGGAACGGAAGGGGGAAGUCCAGGGAAGAGCAGCAUCCAGCGUGGCUAUCUUCAGUAACCAAAAUCAUACUUUAUAAGAACUUCAGUUUUGUAAUUUUCUCCUUUGGAAUUUCCUCCUUUCAAGUCAUCGUGCAUUUCAUAAAGCUUAAAAGUUUACGGAAAAUCGCACCAGC